CCUACGGGCGGCUGCAGUGGGGAAUAUUGCACAAUGGGCGCAAGCCUGAUGCAGCCAUGCCGCGUGUGUGAAGAAGGCCUUCGGGUUGUAAAGCGCUUUCAGCGGGGAGGAAGGCGGUGAGGUUAAUAACCUCAUCGAUUGACGUUACCCGCAGAAGAAGCACCGGCUAACUCCGUGCCAGCAGCCGCGGUAAUACGGAGGGUGCAAGCGUUAAUCGGAAUUACUGGGCGUAAAGCGCACGCAGGCGGUCUGUCAAGUCGGAUGUGAAAUCCCCGGGCUCAACCUGGGAACUGCAUUCGAAACUGGCAGGCUAGAGUCUUGUAGAGGGGGGUAGAAUUCCAGGUGUAGCGGUGAAAUGCGUAGAGAUCUGGAGGAAUACCGGUGGCGAAGGCGGCCCCCUGGACAAAGACUGACGCUCAGGUGCGAAAGCGUGGGGAGCAAACAGGAUUAGAUACCCCGGUAGUC
rnacentral:rRNA from 1 species